UAUCACAGCCAGCUUUGAUGAUU
rnacentral:ncRNA from 2 species